rnacentral:rRNA from 1 species
CCUACGGGAGGCAGCAGUGGGGAAUAUUGGACAAUGGGCGAAAGCCUGAUCCAGCCAUGCCGCGUGUGGGAAGAAGGCCUUCGGGUUGUAAAGCACUUUCAGUGGGGAAGAAAGGCUUGGGGCUAAUACCCUCGAGGAAGGACAUCACCCACAGAAGAAGCACCGGCUAACUCCGUGCCAGCAGCCGCGGUAAUACGGAGGGUGCGAGCGUUAAUCGGAAUUACUGGGCGUAAAGCGCGCGUAGGCGGUCUGAUAAGCCGGUUGUGAAAGCCCCGGGCUCAACCUGGGAACGGCAUCCGGAACUGUCAGGCUAGAGUGCAGGAGAGGAAGGUAGAAUUCCCGGUGUAGCGGUGAAAUGCGUAGAGAUCGGGAGGAAUACCAGUGGCGAAGGCGGACUUCUGGACUGACACUGACGCUGAGGUGCGAAAGCGUGGGUAGCAAACAGGAUUAGAUACCCCUGUAGUC